rnacentral:rRNA from 1 species
GUGGAUCCCUUGGCUUGUGGGUCGAUGAAGAUCGUAGCAAGAUGCGAGAUCGUAAUGUGAACUGCAGGACACAUGAACAUCGACAAAUCGAACGCAUAUUGCGGCCUUUGUCUCUGACUUAGGCCACGCCUGGCGGAGGGUCGG